CAGUCGCCACGGGAACACGGAGGGUGCAAGCGUUAAUCGGAAUUACUGGGCGUAAAGCGCACGCAGGCGGCUUUUUAAGUCGGAUGUGAAAUCCCUGAGCUUAACUUAGGAAUUGCAUUCGAUACUGGGAAGCUAGAGUAUGGGAGAGGAUGGUAGAAUUCCAGGUGUAGCGGUGAAAUGCGUAGAGAUCUGGAGGAAUACCGAUGGCGAAGGCAGCCAUCUGGCCUAAUACUGACGCUGAGGUACGAAAGCAUGGGGAGCAAACAGGAUUAGAUACCCCGGUAGUCCCUGUCUCUUAUAA
rnacentral:rRNA from 1 species